rnacentral:rRNA from 1 species
GACGAACGCUGGCGGCGUGCUUAACACAUGCAAGUCGAACGAAGUGGCGAACGGGUGAGUAACGCGUAAUCAACCUGCCCUUCAGAGGGGGACAACAGUUGGAAACGACUGCUAAUACCGCAUACUGAAGGAGGGGAUUGCGUCUGAUUAGCUAGUUGGAGGGGUAACGGCCAACCAAGGCGAUGAUCAGUAGCCGGUCUGAGAGGAUGAACGUCCACAUGGGGACUGAGACACGGCCAAGACUCUUACGGGAGGCAGCAGUGGGGAAUCUUCCGCAAUGGACGAAAGUCUGACGGAGCAACGCCGCGUGAGUGAUGACGGCCUGCUGGUUUUAAAGCUCUGUUAAGCGGGACGCGGUACCGUAAUAGAAAGCCACGGCGAACUACGUGCCAGCCGGCGAGGUAAUUC